rnacentral:misc_RNA from 1 species
AAAGCCUCUCCAUGGCCUC